UUUAUGUUGGCUACUUUUUAAAAUCCAGCUAUCCACUACUUACCUAGCAAGAACAGCUUGAAAUACCAAACCAAUUGAAGACUGACAAGUUGUUUGGACGUGCUAAGACCCAACUCUGCCAUAAAAAAAAUGAAGGACUAGGGAUGUCGUUUGAAAGAACAACCUUCUUCCAAUGACCAUCCAGAUGGGAGACAGUGAAAUAUCGAAAUUUUAUAACCAUAAGUAUAACAGGUGGAACAGAAUUUCGAGGCGGAUUUUCUACAGACGGAUGCCCUUCCUAUACAUACAUGUGCACACGCAACCAUACACAAAUCAUCGUCAUUUAACAUCCGUUUUUCAUGCCGGGUUGGAUGGUUACACAGAAUUCUACGAGUGGUAGGGCUGCACCGAUACACAUAAACAGACACAAACUUGCAUAACUUUACACACACACACAUGUUUACAUUAAUGACCUAUGGGGACACGGCAUUUCAUUAUGCAACCAUAACAUACCACAAAGUAUAUUCAACGCUUUUAUAAGUCUACUACAUUGACAGUGCUAUUACAUCACUCGUUAAAGUUAUCUCUACAGAUUUUCUAUAGAAAUUAUAGCCAGCACUAACUUUCUUACGGCGUUUUUCUAUAUACUACAAAGUAACAAAAUCAGUGCUGGAUAAAAUUCUUCCAGAAAAUCUGUAGAGAUAACCUUAAUAGUGACAUACGUAUAUAUACAUGCUAUAUAUGCACAUACACACACACACACACAUAUGCUGCAAGAACAUACUGAGACAAUGAGAGAUAUUCCUUUGCUCGGAAACAUAUAAGGGUUGGGGUAUCCAGCUAUUGAAAAUCUAUCUCAAAAGCAUGGA